CCCAGACAGCCAGGAUGUUGGCUUAGAAGCAGCCAUCAUUUAAAGAAAGCGUAAUAGCUCACUGGUCGAGUCGGCCUGCGCGGAAGAUGUAACGGGGCUAAACCAUGCACCGAAGCUGCGGCAGCGAACGUAUCACCCAAGACAACUUUACGGAGUUGACGAUUGACGGAGCGAAGCGACGUCAAAGCGUUCAUUAAAGUCGAGUUGGCUUAGGGAUACGUUCGUUGGGUAGGGGAGCGUUCUGUAAGCCUGUGAAGGUGUGUCGUGAGGCAUGCUGGAGGUAUCAGAAGUGCGAAUGCUGACAUAAGUAACGAUAAAGCGGGUGAAAAGCCCGCUCGCCGGAAGACCAA
rnacentral:rRNA from 7 species